GGGGGUGGGGGGAGGGCGGUAGCUCAGUGGUAAGAGCAUCUGCUUAGCACGCAGAAGGUUCUAGGUUUAAUCCCCAGCACCUCCA